rnacentral:rRNA from 1 species
AUGGAAGAGCCGGAUACGAACCUCGGUCAGCAGUCACCAAAUGGACCAGAUACUGAGAUUGAUGUCUCGGAUUUCAUGGUUUUGGAUUGCGACGAGGAAGGCAAGUUUUAUGUAAAACAGGAUGCAAAAGGGGAGCAGCAACCAUCUGGAGGGCUGUCUCCUAUGGAUGUGGAUUUGAAAGGAAUACCUUCUGUGGUAGAUGAAGGGAAACUGAAGUCUUCUUCAGACCCAAGUGCGCAAGUACCAAUUGACUUCAAUAUUGAAAGCCUGGAGAAGUUUUGUAAAGAAGCGGCACGAUCAUUCUUCACUGAAAAAGGACUGAUCAGCCAUCAGAUAAACUCUUACAAUGAUUUUAUCUCCCAUGGGCUACAAGAGCUCGUUGAUUCUCUAGGGGAAAUAACUGUUGAACCUGAUUAUGAUCCUUCAAAGAGUGUAGGUGACUGGAGACAUGCAACCGUUAAGUUUGGCAGAGUGGCGCUUGAGAAGCCGACGUUUUGGGCUGACAACAGUGAGCUCGAUGAGCAGAAACUCAGACUGAAGCCUGUACAUGCUCGCCUUCAGAACAUGACAUAUUCUUCCAAGAUGAAUGUAGAAAUGACUGUUCAGGUUUAUUCACUCAACCAAAGCGACAAAUCAAAAACUGGGAAGGAUCCAUAUAUCCAGAAGAAACUUAUAUUGUCUCCAGAAACUAAAUGGGUCACCAUCGGCAGGUUACCUGUCAUGGUGAAGUCAAGUUUGUGCUGGCUGUAUGAACUUCAGGAAACUGAAUGCCAGUUUGAUUAUGGUGGAUACUUUCUGAUCAAGGGAACAGAAAAGGCAUUCAUUGCUGAAGAAGGGAGAUGCUUAUCCAGGAUUUGGGUCACUAACUCCCCGAGUUGGGAUGCUUCUUACUUGUCUCAAAUAAGACGAGAAAAGAUAUAUGUUAAACUUGUUCCGUCUAAAGAGAAUGAUGGUUUCCACAAAGUCAUUAAUCUCUCCUUCUUGGGUGCGACUAUGCCAAUAUGGAUAAUGUUUUUUGCACUAGGUGUAUCAUCAGACAAGGAAGCUUUUGAUAUGAUCGAUAUACAAGAUUGUGAUGCUUCUUUGGUCAACAUAUUAUCAGCAACUAUAAGACAAUCUCAUGAACAAUGUGAAGGCUUCCGCGGAGGAGGUAGAGCCCGUCAAUAUGUUGAUGAGUAUAUCAGGAAAACGAAGUUCCCGCCAGAAGAAUCCUUCGAUGGGUAUGUUGGUAGGUAUCUGUUUCCUGAAGUCAGUGACAAUAGGUGCAAAGCACUUUUCUUGGGUUACAUGAUGAAAUGCCUGCUAAUGGCCUACUGUGGCCGUCGGAAAUGUGAUAAUAAGGAUGAUUUCCGUAACAAGAGGCUAGAUCUAGCAUGCCAGCUGCUCCGUAGAGAACUUUGGGGUCAUCUUAGGCAUGCAUCGAGACGCAUGGUCAAGGUAAUGCAGAAGCAUUUGAGUGGUGAUGGUGACUUACAAGUUCUCGAUCAUUAUGUUGAUGCCUCAAUUAUUACCAAUGGUCUGAACCGUGCCUUCUCCACCGGUUCCUGGUGCCACCCAUAUAAAUAUGGAAGGUGCUCAGGGAUUGUUGCAACGCUUAGAAGAACAAAUCCGCUUCAAAUGAUGUCGGACAUGAGAAAGACAAGACAAUUAUCUGCAUACUGGGGAAGUGCUGGAGAUGCUAGAUAUCCGAAUCCCUCCUACUGGGGUAAAUUAUGUUUCAUGUCCACUCCUGAUGGUGAAAAAUGUGGAUUUGUGAAGAACCUAGCUGCCAGUGCUGUGGUUAGCUCUGUGAUGAGGAAGCCUUUGAUUGACUUAUUUGUCUCUUGUGGAAUGAAGAAACUAGAUGAAGUUCUUGUACAAGAGAUUGGCGGUACAGAAAAGAUCUUCUUGAAUGGAGAUUUGGUUGGUGUGAGUGCAUACCCAGGCGAAUUUGUUACGAAUCUAAGAAAUAUGAGACGCAGCAAGCAAAUUGAUCCACAGGUGGAAAUCAAAAGGGACAAGCUACAUAAAGAAGUUUGUGUCUUUUCUGAUGCCGGGAGAAUUCUAAGACCACUUCUUAUAGUUGAAAAUCUUAAAAGCAUCGCUAAACCGAAUGGUGGAUCAUACUCGUUUCAGCAACUUAUGGACCAAAAUAUAAUUGAACUGAUUGGUGCUGAAGAGGAGGAGGAUAUCCAAUGUGCUUGUGGAAUUAAGGAUCUCUUUUCAGGGGACCAAAAAGAGGGUCUUUUGUACUAUAGCCAUUGUGAGCUCGACCCUUCUUUGUUGCUAGGGUUGAGCUGUGGUAUCAUUCCCUUUGUCAACCACAAUGCUGCUAAGAGAGUUUUGAUGCAAGCUGAAAAACUAUCACAACAGGCUAUUGGCUACUCGCCUACAAAUUCUCAGUAUAGAGUCGAUACCCUUUUUCAUCAAAUGUACUAUCCACAGAGACCCCUGUUCAAAACUGUAUUAUCUGACUGUCUUGGUAAGAGAGGCCUUACUAGACCAGAGUAUUUCAAUGGCCAAAAUGCAAUAGUUUCAAUCAAUGUUCAUCAAGGUUUUAACCAAGAAGACUCCCUGGUAUUUAAUAGGGCUUCGUUAGAGCGUGGCAUGUUCCGGACACUUCAUUUCAAGAGCUACAAAGCACAGAUAGAAAACAAAGAGGUGACCAGAAGACUCAAACACAGGGAAAAAAUUGACUUUGGAAAAACCCAAAGCAAGAAAGGACGUGUUGACAGUCUGGAUAUCGAUGGAUUACCAUAUAUUGGAGCCAGUCUUCAAACUGGCGACAUUGUCAUUGGGAAGGUCUCAGAGUCUGGUGAAGAUCAUAGUAGGAAGCUUAUGCAUACUGAAAGAGGGAUGGUGGACAAGGUUGUUCUUUCAGCUAAUGAUGAUGGGAAGAACUCUGCAGUUGUUACUCUAAGACAGGUUCGCCAACCUUGUGUUGGAGACAAGUUUGCCAGCAUGCAUGGCCAGAAAGGAGUUGUUGGUCUCUUGGAUUCUCAGGAGAACUUCCCAUUUACUUGCCAAGGAAUAGUUCCAGACAUCGUGAUAAAUCCACAUGGCUUUCCAACUCGCCAAACUCCUGGUCAGCUGCUUGAGGCUGCAUUGGGCAAGGGAAUAGCACUUGGUGGGAUGUCCAGAUUUGCAACGCCAUUUACCACUCCGUCUGUGGAUGUGAUCACGGAGCAAUUGCACAAGGCUGGUUUUUCAAGGUGGGGAAGCGAGAGCGUUCUGAAUGGCCACAACGGUGAAAGGACGAGAUCUUUGGUGUUCAUGGGGCCAACCUACUAUCAGAGGCUCACUCACAUGGCCGAGGACAAGGUGAAGUUGCGCAACACCGGGCCGGUGCACCCGCUCACGAGGCAGCCAGUGGUGGACAGGAAGAGGUUCGGCGGUGUCAAGUUCGGGGAGAUGGAGCGUGACUGCCUCCUCGCUCAUGGCGCCACCGCCAACCUCCGAGAGCGGCUCUUCACGCUCAGCGACGUGUCGCAGCUGCACAUCUGCCAGGUGUGUGAGCGGGUGGCGAACGUGGUCUUGAGGCCCGUCGAAGGGGGGAGGAAGGUCCACGGCCCCUACUGCGGCUUCUGCAAAUCCGCGGAGAACAUACUCCGGAUCAAGGUGCCCUACGGCGCAAAGCUGCUCUACCAGGAGCUCUUCAGCAUGGGGAUCUGCCUCAAGUUCGAGACGGAGGCCAGUUAG